rnacentral:rRNA from 1 species
UCUAUUAGAACUAAUUAAUAGUAAAAUCUGCUCAAUGAUAUUAAAUAGCCGCUAUUAUUGUGCUAAGGUAGCAUAAUCAUUUGUCUUUUAAUUAAAGACUAGAAUAAAAGAUUAAACAUUUUAAUUAAUUUAUCAAAAUUAAAUAUUAAAUUUAUUUUAAAUGUAAAAAAACAUUUAUAUAUUAGGAAGACGACAAGACCCUAUUAAACUUUACUAAAGUUUAACUGGGGCAGUUAAUUAAUUAUUAUUUUAAUUAUAUUACAAAAUAAAUCAGACCCUAUAAAAUAGAUCAAAUGACCAAGUUACUAUAGGGAUAACAGUGUAAUAUUAAUUUAAAGAUCUUAUUAAAAUAAAAGAUUACAACCUCGAUGUUGAAUUAAUAACCUAUAUUAUAAAUAAUAAAAGGAAG